UUAAUAUUUCAGGUAACACUCUCACCACACAACCUUUGGGUUGUGUCACUUUAGCACUAUAUGUAGCAGCACCAUCACCAACAUUGGUAACAGUCCUGUUAAAUGUGUGAACCAUUGAUCUUGUUUUUUUGUUGUAGAAAGCUAUAAAUGAAGGGUAAUUAAGAUCCAAAGAAGUGUUUUCACAACCAUGAGAACUUGAUCUUGUGAUUGUUAAAAUUUGCCUCUUUGUGAACUUCAAGCCACAAAGGAAAUUAACAUAGUCUUGUGGUGUACAAUCAUAAACUAAACCUGGAUUCAUUGCUCUAUUAGGAUCAAUCUCACCAACCAAUAAUGUUUUCACCAUUUCCCAAAACAAGGCUGCCAAAAGUUCUAUCUGUGGUUCCUGCAGCUACAGUAAGGACCCAAGGGAUACCAUUGUGCAAGGUUCCAUGCUUAGGUCCUGAGUUACCUGCAGAAGAUGAAACAACAAUCCCUUUCUCCAUAGCUGUAAAAGAAGCUAUUGCUAUAGCAUCUUCAUAAAGUGGAAUACCAUCAAUUCCAAUAGAAAUUGAAAUCACGUCAACACCAUCAAUAAUUGCUUGGUCCAUUCCAGCUAAAACAUCAGAAGCCAUAACAUCCUCUUCCCAAAUGACUUUGUACAUAGCAAUCUUAGCUUUUGGUGCAAUGCCUCUUGCUACUCCUUUAGCAUAGCCAAAAUAAGAAGCUCCGUUGACAUAGUUACCUGAAGUCCGAAGCAAACAACUCGAUAGUAAGCUGAGAGUACUAACCAAGAAACUAACAUAAUUUGUUACUAUUUGUCUAUGUAAAAAACAAUAAAAAUAACACAGUUACCUGCAACAGUUGAUGAUGUAUGAGUUCCAUGUCCGAUACUGUCUCUAGCUGAGUUCUUGCUGAUUCCAACAUUUCGAUAGUUACCUGCAAUCACACCUUUAUUGAAAGAUCUUGCUCCAAUCAGUUUGAAGUUGCACACGGAGGCAUUGAAUUUAUGGCCAGUUUCACAUGUUCCUUUCCAUUUGUUUGGAAUUUUCUUUGUCAUGCCAUCAUCUUUAAAGCUUUGACUCUCAGGCCACACACCAGAAUCUAUAACACCAACAAUGAUGUCAUCUCCAAAAUUUGAAGCAUGCCAUAGACCACUUGGAGAAUCUAGGGAGAGAAAUUCAAAGGUGUGAGUUGUGUCAAUGGUUGCUGUUCUAUCUUGAUAUGCUGAAACAAAGCCAUCAAUGUUCUUAAUAAUCUCUAACUCAUUUGAAGAUAACAUUGCACAAAAUCCAUACAUGGCAUUAUCAUAGGUGUACACUAGUUUCUUCUGUGAUUGCUUUGAUGCUUCUUGUUGAUCAUGAUCAUCAAGUACUAGUGUUUUUGAUUUUAAGGAAUGAAUGGUGGAUUUGAACCAAUCAUGAUGAUUUGUGAAGACUUGAGGAAAGAAGGAUUUGUUCAUAUGGAUUAUAUAUGUGGAAGUCUCAGCAUUGCUAUGAAAGGUUAAUAGAAGCCAAAGAGAAAUUAUGAGAAGAAGUGAAAACUCAAAGUUAGGCUCCAUUGAUUAUUUUUGCCAAUAAACAAAGAAAUGUUGUUUUGGCUCUUGAUUCCUCUUAUCAUGCGAUUCUAUAGGAUUUUUAGAGAAUAUAAAUGAUGUUAACAUUCAUGAAUUGUUUAGAAAUUUGAGGAUGAUAUUAAUUCUAAGUGAUUGAACAGAUUUAUUUUGCUUGAGAAUUAUUUCGUUCAAACUAAUCUUUGGUCCUUUAAGCUUUUUAUUUUUGCUCUACAACUUUGGUUAUUUUAGGAAACCAAGAUACAUUUAAUGUUGCUUUUUCCUUUAAUAUCCUUUCAAAAAACCAAAUCCAUGUAUUAAAUGAAUUUGACUUUUACUAAAUGAAUUAAAGGGUAGAAAUGCAUAAACUUAUCUAAAUUUAUUAUUUUUACUGUGUGUCCAAACUUAAUCUUCCUAGGCCGAUUUCAAGUCCGGUAAAAGGAGAGGGUUGUAUUAAGUCUCGACAGCUAACGUAAAACUUUGUCGAAUCUUCAUGAUAUGGAUUUGUAGUAUGUCCAAACCUAAAACACCAACGUUAAGAUGUAAUUUAUGUUUGUUUCAAAAUAUUUUAUUUUCGGAAUCACCCAUCUGAAUUAUCUAACAAAUAUUGCCUAAAAAAAUGGGACAAAGGCUAACUUUCAAAAUGUUAAUUUAUGGCCUUUCAGGAAAAGCAAAUGUCAAUUUGUGAAAGUAGUAAACAACUCAUAAUCCUCAGAUGAAUAGAAACAACACAUAAGUUAACUUUGAGAAGGUAAUAUGUACAAGUAAGAAAUAGAAAUUAAAUAUACUCACAAGUUGUAGAAAGAUGUUUUCGAAAAAGAAAUAAUAAAAAUCCGGAUCCUCCAUAUCCGGCUUUAUGGCGCACAUUCGAUCAAGAGAGGAAAAUAACUCUUCAUGACCGGUUGCAUCAUAAGCCAGGUCGAAGAGAAUCCAAUUUGAAAAAGAGACAAAUAAUUCACCCACAGAAAAGAAGCUCCCAUAUAAUAUGGCAAAGACUAUCGUGAAAUCCCAUUAUGAACCAGCAUCUCACGCUACAAAAUAAUUGACAUCUAGUAACACUUGAAAACUGUUACUAAAUCAAGAAAAAUGUUACUGAUUAUAUUUAGUAACAUUUGAACAAUUGUUAGGAAAAGCCCAUGUUACUAAAGAGCUUUAGUUACAUUUUAUAGUAUUAUUUUUAACAUUCAAAAAGUGUCUUUUUGAAUGAAAUCAGCCCAGUAACAUUUGAAUGAAAAGAGCUUUAGUUACUAAAGAGCCUUAAUCCCAUAUCUAGUUUACUUAACUGAUUAACUCAGAAAUCAAAGUUUAGGAAUGAAAUUUAUAAAUUUCUAAAUAAGCUUAUGAUGGUUCUCCAAUGAGGUUAUAACUAGUAGUUAAAGAACAAAAAACAUGAAGAUGUAGAAUUAGUUUGUGAAAAUAAAAAACCAAGAUAAUGACAACCAAACACAUCAUAAGGUUGCAUUUGAAUGAGUGUUUUUAAAGAGUGUAAGAAAAGUACACAAUAUUGCAUAUCAUGUCAUUGCAGAAGGUGCAGAAAAAUGAGGGGAAAAAACACUUGAAAGCUCAUAUAAUUCCCCUUGGUGCCACUACAAUAGGACUUCUAACAGUGUGUGCUCCACCAUAUUCAAUCCAAACAAGAUCCCCAAAUGAAACAUUAUCCUUCUUGUACAUGACACACUUUAUGACAAGGGAGUAACUUUGUUUCUCAUUUCUAUAUUUGAAAGUUAAUAUAUCAGGUAACACUGUCAUCACACAACCUUUUGGAUGUGUCACAUUAGCACUAUAUGUAGCAGCACCAUCACCAACAUUGGUAACAGUCCUGUUAAAUGUGUGAACCAUUGAUCUUGUUUUUUUGUUGUAGAAAGCUAUAAAUGAAGGGUAAUUAAGAUCCAAAGAAGGGUUUUCACAACCAUAAGAACUUGAUCUUGUGAUCGUUAAAAUUUGAUUCUUUGUGAACUUCAAACCACAAAGGAAAUUAACAUAGUCUUGUGGUGUAGCAUCAUAAAUCAAACCUGGAUUCAUUGCUCUAUUAGGAUCAAUCUCACCAGCACCGAUAGCGAGAGGUGAAGCAUAUUGAGAAGGAUAACCGUUAUCCCUUAUUAGAUUUUUUGUAUUAUCCAAAGGAUUAGCUGUGGUUAUCAAUGCAGAUCUUAUAGCAGCAGAACUCCAUUGUGGAUGUACAGCUUUGAGAAGAGCAGCAACACCAGAGGCAUGAGGACAAGCCAUGGAUGUUCCUGACAUGAAAUUGUAGUCACUUGAUAAGAACACAUCGGUACCAAUUCUAGCUGUUGGUUUAUAAGGAACAAAAGCAGCGAGAACUCUUGAUCCAGGUGCCAUUAUGUCAGGCUUCAAAAUCCAAGGAAAGCCAUGUGAUGGACCUCUUGAUGAGUAAUGAGCUGCAAUUGGUGCCGGUUUUAUUCCAAGAAAUGUUUGUUGAAACUUAAUGCUUGCUGUUGGAUUAUUCUUAUUGCGUUUUGCGUACUUGAUCACAGAUUCUGCAUCUUUUGUCUUGAUAACAAUACCUGGAGCGUAGAUAUGUCUUAAAUCAAUUAAUUCAGGACUAUCAGAGAGAAACACUGCCCCUAACAUAUUGGUUUGUGUAACAACAUCGAUUUGAUCAAACACUGAGCUUGAGUUUGAUAUUGAGUCACAAAUAAUUAUGACUUGCUUGUUAACUUGAGAUAAACGCUUCACUGAAUUGCAUGAAGAUAAAGUGUUAUCGUAAACAAGAGGAAGAUUUUCGACUAUAGUUGAAUUUGAUGCAAACAAAGUCCAACCAAUAAUGUUUUGACCAUUCCCCAAAACAAGGCUGCCAAAAGUUCUAUCUAUGGUUCCUGCAGCUACAGUAAGAACCCAAGGGAUACCAUUGUGCAAAGUUCCAUGCUUAGGUCCUGAGUUACCUGCAGAAGACGAAACAACAAUCCCUUUCUCCAUAGCUGCAAAAGAAGCUAUUGCUAUAGCAUCUUCAUAAAGUGGAACACCAUCAAAUCCCAUAGAAAUUGAAAUCACAUCAACACCAUCAGCAAUAGCUUGGUCCAUUCCAGCUAAAACAUCAGAAGCCAAAAGACCCUCUUCCCAAAUGACUUUGUACAUAGCAAGCCUAGCUCUUGGUGCAAUGCCUCUUGCUACUCCUUUAGCAUAACCAAAAUAAGAAGUUCCAUUGACAUAGUUACCUGAAGUCCGAAGCAGACAGCUCGAUUAGUAAGCUGAGAGUUACAGAAGGAGUACUAACAUUUCUCUAUAAAAAAAAUAAAAAAUAGUUACCUGCAACUGUUGAUGAUGUAUGAGUUCCAUGUCCGAUACUGUCUCUAGCUGAGUUCAUCCUGAUUCUAACAUUUGGAUUUGAAGCAAUCACACCUUUGUUGAAAGAUCUAGCUCCAAUCAGUUUGAAGUUGCACAUGGAGGCAUUGAAUUUAUGGCCAGUUUCACAUGUUCCUUUCCAUUUGUUCGGAAUUUUCUUUGUCAUGCCGUCAUCUUUAAAGCUUUGACUCUCAGGCCAUACACCAGAGUCAAUAACACCAAUAAUGAUAUCGUCUCCGAAAUUUGAAGCAUGCCAUAGACCACUUGGAGAAUCUAGGGAGAGAAAUUCAAAGGUGUGAGUUGUGUCCAUGGUUGCUGUUCUGUCUUGAUAUGCUGCAACAAAGCCAUCAGUGUUGUUAAGAGUCUCUAACUCAUUUGAAGAUAACAAUGCACUAAAUCCAUACAUGGCAUUAUCAUAGGUGUAUACUAGUUGCUUCUGUGAUUGCAUUGAUGCUUCUUCUUGUUGAUCAUGAUCAUCAAGCACUAAUGUUUUUGAUUUUAAGGAAUGAAUGGUAGAUUUGAACCAAUCAUGAUGAUUUGUGAAGACUUGAGGAAAGAAGGAUUUGUUCAUAUGGAUUAUAUAUGUGGAAGUCUCAGCAUUGCUAUGAAAGGUUAAUAGAAGCCAAAGAGAAAUUAUGAGAAGAA
rnacentral:lncRNA from 1 species